rnacentral:rRNA from 1 species
UGGGUAACCUGCCUCAAAGAGGGGAAUAGCCUCCCGAAAGGGAGAAUUAAUACCGCAUAAUAUGUUUAAGUCGCAUGACUUUAACAUCAAAGGAUCUUCUUUUAGAAAUUCCACUUUGAGAUGGACCCGCGGCGCAUUAGCUAGUUGGUGAGGUAACGGCUCACCAAGGCAACGAUGCGUAGCCGACCUGAGAGGGUGAUCGGCCACAUUGGAACCUGA